rnacentral:rRNA from 1 species
CCUACGGGAGGCAGCAGUUGGGCGAAAGCCUGAUCCAGCAAUGCCGCGUGAGUGAUGAAGGCCUUCGGGUCGUAAAGCUCUUUUACCAGGGAUGAUAAUGACAGUACCUGGAGAAUAAGCUCCGGCUAACUCCGUGCCAGCAGCCGCGGUAAUACGGAGGGAGCUAGCGUUGUUCGGAAUUACUGGGCGUAAAGAGUACGUAGGCGGCUAUUCAAGUCAGAGGUGAAAGCCCGGGGCUCAACCCCGGAACUGCCUUUGAAACUAGGUAGCUAGAAUCUUGGAGAGGUCAGUGGAAUUCCGAGUGUAGAGGUGAAAUUCGUAGAUAUUCGGAAGAACACCAGUGGCGAAGGCGACUGACUGGACAAGUAUUGACGCUGAGGUACGAAAGCGUGGGGAGCAAACAGGAUUAGAUACCCUGGUAGUCCACGCCGUAAACGAUGAUAACUAGUUGUUCGGUCACUUGGUGACUGAGUGACGCAGCUAACGCAUUAAGUUUCCGCCUGGGGAGACGGCAAAAGUC